GAGGCGAAAUCCGAAAAGCCUAUAAUAGAGUAGGAA
rfam:Capnocytophaga canimorsus strain CcD38 genome assembly, contig: CCAND38_Contig_62